CUAAAGAUCCCUGGGCUUGCUGCGCUGAGAUCACAUGUAGGACAGGCAGGUUUGCCUUUUUCACUUAUUGCUGUUUAUGGAGCACACAUUUUUGUUAUUUAUUUGAAUGAUGGGAAAUGACCACAGUGGGCUGCCCUGAGGACUGUGAGAGUCAGCUGGGAACAGAGGCCGGACGCCCCGAAUGUGAAACGCUGAGUGUGUGUGGACGUGGAACAACUGCGGAGGUGUUAUUUUGGAAGUCGGCCUUCUGCAGUGGUGUUAGAUUAUUGACUUCAAGCAAAAACGAAACCUCCCUUUCAUAUCACAAGGAAAGGAUGUGUCUACUUUGA
rnacentral:lncRNA from 1 species